GACGAGCCUCACAAACGUUAUUCGGAAUUACUGGGCUUAAAGGGUGCGUAGGCGGUGCGGAAAGUUGGGUGUGAAAUCCCUCGGCUUAACCGAGGAAUUGCGCUCAAAACUACCGUGCUCGAGGGAGAUAGAGGAAUGCGGAACUUACGGUGGAGCGGUGAAAUGCGUUGAUAUCGUAGGGAACACCGGUGGCGAAAGCGGCAUUCUGGAGUCUCUUCUGACGCUGAUGCACGAAAGCUAGGGUAGCAAACGGG
rnacentral:rRNA from 1 species